GCCUCGGUAGCUCAGCCUGGUCAGAGCGCCUGCUUGGUAAGCAGGAGGUCGCGGGUUCAAACCCCGCCCGAGGCU
rnacentral:tRNA from 1 species